rnacentral:rRNA from 1 species
UACGUAGGGUGCAAGCGUUGUCCGGAAUUAUUGGGCGUAAAGAGCUCGUAGGCGGUUUGUUGCGUCGGCUGUGAAAUCCCGAGGCUCAACCUCGGGUCUGCAGUCGAUACGAGCAAACUAGAGUGUUGCAGGGGGAGACUGGAAUUCCUGGUGUAGCGGUGAAAUGCGCAGAUAUCAGGAGGAACACCGGUGGCGAAGGCGGGUCUCUGGGGCAACAACUGACGCUGAGGAGCGAAAGCGUGGGGGAGCGAACAGG